rnacentral:misc_RNA from 1 species
UGAAUUUUUAGUCUUUUUGCAUAUGGGUGAAAAAUUGGUUGAGGAACUUGAGAAAGCAUUUUAGAAUAUUUUCACUGAGUAUAAGGAAUAAUAAUAGUACAAUUGUUUGACCCAGUAGCCAGCAGAUUAUUGUUAGUAUAUGUGCACUUUAGCCAAUGUAUUAGUUGCAAGUGUGAUUGCUUAAUUACAUGUAUAUACAUUUUGAUAUUGAUAAAGGCUGCUUUAUUUUUAAUGUUUAUGUUAAUUUUAAUUAAUAUUAAUUAAUAAAGAUAAAGUCCAUGAACUUAUAUGCAUAGCAGUAAUAAUUAUAAUAUGAUUAUAAUUAUGAGAUUCUAACUGUAUUGUUUAUUCUAAAAAUAUUCCUGGUUAAUGUUAUAUUGAGAUUGGACAUUGAUAUAACUUUUGAGAUCAGUGUGUGUUGCAUUCUUUCCUUUAUGAAAAGAAACAACAGUUCUCAUCAAGUUGAGGUGUAGGAGAUACCUAAGAUUAAUGUGUAGGUGCUUAUGGUGAUAAGUUUACUGAAUUAACCUGCACAAGGAUUCUAUAUAGAAGUUUAUCUGUAUCUAUGGAAAGACUCGAGUGAUAGUCAUUGGGGUCUUGGAGAAUUUUCUCAUA